AGCGAACGCUGGCGGCAGGCUUAACACAUGCAAGUCGAGCGGGCGUAGCAAUACGUCAGCGGCAGACGGGUGUGUAACGCGUGGGAACGUACCUUUUGGUUCGGAACAACACAGGGAAACUUGUGCUAAUACCGGAUAAGCCCUUACGGGGAAAGAUUUAUCGCCGGAAGAUCGGCCCGCGUCUGAUUAGCUAGUUGGUGAGGUAACGGCUCACCAAGGCGACGAUCAGUAGCUGGUCUGAGAGGAUGAUCAGCCACAUUGGGACUGAGACACGGCCCAAACUCCUACGGGAGGCAGCAGUGGGGAAUAUUGGACAAUGGGGGCAACCCUGAUCCAGCCAUGCCGCGUGAGUGAUGAAGGCCCUAGGGUUGUAAAGCUCUUUUGUGCGGGAAGAUAAUGACGGUACCGCAAGAAUAAGCCCCGGCUAACUUCGUG
rnacentral:rRNA from 1 species